rnacentral:rRNA from 1 species
GUAGGUGGCAAGCGUUGUCCGGAAUUAUUGGGCGUAAAGCGCGCGCAGGCGGUUCUUUAAGUCUGAUGUGAAAGCCCACGGCUCAACCGUGGAGGGUCAUUGGAAACUGGAGAACUUGAGUACAGAAGAGGAAAGCGGAAUUCCACGUGUAGCGGUGAAAUGCGUAGAGAUGUGGAGGAACACCAGUGGCGAAGGCGGCUUUCUGGUCUGUAACUGACGCUGAGGCGCGAAAGCGUGGGGAGCAAACAGGAUUAGAUACCCUGGUAGUCCACGCCGUAAACGAUGAGUGCUAAGUGUUAGGGGGUUUCCGCCCCCUUAGUGCUGCAGCUAACGCAUUAAGCACUCCGCCUGGGAUACGGCCGCAGGCUG